rnacentral:rRNA from 1 species
CUACGUGCCAGCAGCCGCGGUAAUACGUAUGGCGCAAGCGUUAUCCGGAAUUAUUGGGCUUAAAGGGCAUCUAGGCGGUUAAACAAGUCAGGGGUGAAAACUUGCAGCUCAACUGCAAGCUUGCCUUUGAAACUGAUUAACUAGAGUACUGGAAAGGUGGGUGGAACUACACGAGUAGAGGUGAAAUUCGUAGAUAUGUGUAGGAAUGCCGAUGAUGAAGAUAACUCACUGGACAGAAACUGACGCUGAAGUGCGAAAGCUAGGGGAGCAAACAGGAUUAGAUACCCUGGUAGUCCUAGCUGUAAACGAUGAUCACUGGGUGUGGGGAUGAAUAGUCUCUGUGCCGAAGCAAAAGCGAUAAGUGAUCCGCCUGGGGAGUACGUACGCAAGUAUGAAACUCAAAGGAAUUGACGGGGACCCGCACAAGUGGUGGAGCAUGUGGUUUAAUUCGACGCAACGCGAGGAACCUUACCAGGUCUUGACAUAC